rnacentral:rRNA from 14 species
CCGAACCCACGUCUGUUGAAAAAGACAGGGAUGACUUGUGGCUAGGGGUGAAAGGCCAAUCAAACCCGGAGAUAGCUGGUUCUCCGCGAAAACUAUUUAGGUAGUGCGUCAGAUGGUGGCUCUCGGGGGUAGAGCACUGGAUGGGCUAGGGGGGCGCGAGCCUUACCAAACCUAACCAAACUCCGAAUACCGAGAAGUCCAGUCUGGCAGACAGACCGUGGGUG